CCUACGGGAGGCAGCAGUGGGGAAUAUUGGACAAUGGGGGAAACCCUGAUCCAGCAAUGCCGCGUGAGUGAUGAAGGCCUUAGGGUUGUAAAGCUCUUUUACCAGGGAUGAUAAUGACAGUACCUGGAGAAUAAGCUCCGGCUAACUCCGUGCCAGCAGCCGCGGUAAUACGGAGGGAGCUAGCGUUGUUCGGAAUUACUGGGCGUAAAGCGCACGUAGGCGGUUACUCAAGUCAGAGGUGAAAGCCCGGGGCUCAACCCCGGAACUGCCUUUGAAACUAGGUAACUAGAAUCCUGGAGAGGUGAGUGGAAUUCCGAGUGUAGAGGUGAAAUUCGUAGAUAUUCGGAAGAACACCAGUGGCGAAGGCGGCUCACUGGACAGGUAUUGACGCUGAGGUGCGAAAGCGUGGGGAGCAAAACAGGAUUAGAUACCCUGGUAGUCCACGCCGUAAAACGAUGAUAAACUAGCUGUCCGGGCACAUGGUGUUUGGGUGGCGCAGCUAAACGCAUUAAGUUAUCCGCCUGGGGAGUACGGUCGCAAGAUUAAAAACUUAACGAAAAUUGAAACGUUGACGGAGUAGAGACCCUAAGGGCCCAAACGGACCAACGGGAAACGUAAAGGGGGAGUAGGAG
rnacentral:rRNA from 1 species